CCUACGCGAUGCACCAGUGGGGAAUAUUGCACAAUGGGCGCAAGCCUGAUGCAGCCAUGCCGCGUGUGUGAAGAAGGCCUUCGGGUUGUAAAGCACUUUCAGCGGGGGGGAAGGUGGUGAGGUUAAUAACCUCAUCGAUUGACGUUACCCGCAGAAGAAGCACCGGCUAACUCCGUGCCGGCAGCCGCGGUAAUACGGAGGGUGCAAGCGUUAAUCGGAAUUACUGGGCGUAAAGCGCACGCAGGCGGUCUGUCAAGUCGGAUGUGAAAUCCCCGGGCUCAACCUGGGAACUGCAUUCGAAACUGGCAGGCUAGAGUCUUGUAGAGGGGGGUAGAAUUCCAGGUGUAGCGGUGAAAUGCGUAGAGAUCUGGAGGAAUACCGGUGGCGAAGGCGGCCCCCUGGACCAAGACUGACGCUCAGGUGCGAAAGCGUGGGGAGCAAACAGGAUUAGAUACCCGCGUAGUC
rnacentral:rRNA from 1 species